AGAUGAAUGUUUGAAUAAUAAGCUGUGGCGCUCCAACAAUUGAAAAAGGUCCGCUUUGCCUGCACAGUUUGCAUAGUUGUUGCCAUAUUGUAUGUAAUAGGUCAGAUAGUACUCUAUGCAGAUCUUAGGCGAAGCGCUAGCUCAAUGUCACCCGCUCUAUUUAACCAAGAUGACGAUGAAAGUGUGAAAGAAACUGGUCAUGCUAGACAGAGGAAAGUUGAAUUGGUUGACUGUACAGACAAGGAUGGUGCAACAGUCUCAUCAAGCUUUGUCAACGACGAUUAUUGUGACUUUGGAUGCGAUGAGCCUCUGACCUCAGCAUGCAACGACCAGAAGUUCAAGUGCAGAAAGGGUCGCAAGGUCAUCCCGACUUCCUUUCUUUUCGACGGUGUAUGUGACUGCUGCGAUGGAUCAGAUGAACCGGGCAUACUUUUUGACCAAGUGACUCCGCACGAAAGUCUCAAAGAUGAACAGACAAACUCUGUGCACAAUAGAAAAACUCAUCUAUUUCCUUGUACCGAUAUAUGCUAACAAAAUGUAUCUCCAAUUAUUGCAAUUAUUGUGCUGUACAUUUUUAAUAAUUGAUUGUUUUUAUGUUGGACAAUUAUUAUAAAUCAGAUUUUGAUGUUCUGGUAUUUGGAUUUUUUGUUUAUUUUCCUUUCUGUGA